rnacentral:rRNA from 1 species
GACGAACGCUGGCGGCGUGCUUAACACAUGCAAGUCGAACGGAAAGGCCCUGCUUUUGUGGGGUGCUCGAGUGGCGAACGGGUGAGUAACACGUGAGUAACCUGCCCUUGACUUUGGGAUAACUUCAGGAAACUGGGGCUAAUACCGGAUAGGAGCUCCUGCUGCAUGGUGGGGGUUGGAAAGUUUCGGCGGUUGGGGAUGGACUCGCGGCUUAUCAGCUUGUUGGUGGGGUAGUGGCUUACCAAGGCUUUGACGGGUAGCCGGCCUGAGAGGGUGACCGGCCACAUUGGGACUGAGAUACGGCCCAGACUCCUACGGGCGGCAGCAGUGGGGAAUAUUGCACAAUGGGCGGAAGCCUGAUGCAGCAACGCCGCGUGCGGGAUGACGGGCAUCGGGUUGUAAACCGCUUUCGCCUGUGACGAAGCGGGCGUGACGGUAAUGGGUAAAGAAGCCACGGCUAACUACGUG